AAUAAACGCUGGCGGCGUGCCUAACACAUGCAAGUCGAGCGAGAAAGCUCCUUCGGGAGUGAGUACAGCGGCGAACGGGUGAGCAACGCGUGGGAAUCUACCCUUCAGUGAAGAAUACCCUUGAGAAAUCGAGGUUAAUACUGCAUACGUCCUGUAAAGGAGAAAGAUGGCCUCUUUGCUGUCGUUGAAGGAUGAGCCUGCGUACUAUUAGCUAGUUGGUAGGGUAACGGCCUACCAAGGCGAUGAUGGUUAACCGGCCUGAGAGGGUGUACAGUCACACUGGAACUGAGACACGGUCCAGACUCCUACGGGAGGCAGCAGUGGGGAAUAUUGGACAAUGGGGGGAACCCUGAUCCAGCCAUGCCGCGUGUGUGAAGAAGGUCUUAGGAUUGUAAAGCACUUUAAGUUGGGAGGAAGAGCAGUUAACUAAUAUUUGACUGUUUUGACGUUACCGACAGAAUAAGCACCGGCUAACUUCGUGCCAGCCGCCGCGGUAA
rnacentral:rRNA from 1 species